AGUGCGUAACAGCUCACUAGUCGAAUGACUCUGCGCCGAUAAUUUACCGGGGCUAAGCAUGACACCGAAGCUAUGGACAGGAAUGUGGUAGGGGAGCAUUGCAUGCAGCGGAGAAGCAUGACCGGGAGGGCAUGUGGAGCGCAUGGAAGAGAGAAUGCCGGCGUGAGUAGCGGCACGUGGGUGAGAAUCCCACGCACCGAUGGCCCAAGGUCUCCAGAGGAAGGCUCGUCCUCUCUGGGAUAGUCGGGACCUAAGGCGAGGCCGAAAGGCGUAGUCGAUGCACAUACGGUUGAAAUUCCGUAGCC
rnacentral:rRNA from 17 species